rnacentral:tRNA from 1 species
GGUUCCAUAGUGUAGUAGUCAUCACGUCUGUUUUACACGCAGAAGGUCCUGGGUUCAAUCCCCAGUGGAACCA